UACGAAGGGGGCUAGCGUUGCUCGGAAUCACUGGGCGUAAAGCGCACGUAGGCGGGUCGUUAAGUCGGGGGUGAAAUCCUGGAGCUCAACUCCAGAACUGCCUUCGAUACUGGCGAUCUUGAGUCUGGGAGAGGUGAGUGGAACUCCGAGUGUAGAGGUGAAAUUCGUAGAUAUUCGGAAGAACACCAGUGGCGAAGGCGGCUCACUGGACUGGUAUUGACGCUGAGGCACGAAAGCGUGGGGAGCAAACAGG
rnacentral:rRNA from 1 species